UACUGCAGUCGAGGGGUAGAGUAAGCUUGCUUACUUGAGACCGGCGCACGGGUGCGUAACGCGUAUGCAACCUACCUUUAUCUGGGGGAUAGCCCGGAGAAAUUCGGAUUAAUACCGCAUAAAAUCACAGAAUGGCAUUAUUCAAUGAUCAAACAUUAAUGGGAUAGAGAUGGGCAUGCGUGUCAUUAGCUAGUUGGCGGGGUAACGGCCCACCAAGGCGACGAUGACUAGGGGAUCUGAGAGGAUGACCCCCCACACUGGUACUGAGACACGGACCAGACUCCUACGGGAGGCAGCAGUAAGGAAUAUUGGUCAAUGGAGGCAACUCUGAACCAGCCAUGCCGCGUGCAGGAAGACUGCCCUAUGGGUUGUAAACUGCUUUUAUCCGGGAAUAAACCACGAUACGUGUAUUGUGCUGAAUGUACCGGAAGAAUAAGGAUCGGCUAACUCCGUGCCAGCAGCCGCGGUAAUACGGAGGAUCCAAGCGUUAUCCGGAUUUAUUGGGUUUAAAGGGUGCGUAGGCGGCCUAUUAAGUCAGGGGUGAAAGACGGUAGCUCAACUAUCGCAGUGCCUUUGAUACUGAUGGGCUUGAAUGAACUAGAGGUAGGCGGAAUGAGACAAGUAGCGGUGAAAUGCAUAGAUAUGUCUCAGAACACCGAUUGCGAAGGCAGCUUACUAUGGUUUAAUUGACGCUGAGGCACGAAAGCGUGGGGAUCAAACAGGAUUAGAUACCCUGGUAGUCCACGCCCUAAACGAUGAACACUCGCUGUUGGCGAUACACAGUCAGCGGCUAAGCGAAAGCGUUAAGUGUUCCACCUGGGGAGUACGGUCGCAAGAUUGAAACUCAAAGGAAUUGACGGGGGCCCGCACAAGCGGAGGAGCAUGUGGUUUAAUUCGAUGAUACGCGAGGAACCUUACCCGGGCUUGAAAGUUAGUGAAUCAUUUAGAGAUAAA
rnacentral:rRNA from 1 species